rnacentral:rRNA from 1 species
AUUGAACGCUGGCGGCAGGCCUAACACAUGCAAGUCGAGCGGAGCGGCGGACGGGUGAGUAAUGCAUAGGAAGCUGCCUGGUCGUGGGGGAUAACGUCCGGAAACGGGCGCUGAUACCGCACACUAGCAGAUGAGCCUAGGUAGGAUCAGCUAGUUGGUGGGGUAAAGGACGACCAAGGCGACGAACCGUAACUGGUCUGAGAGGAUGAUCAGUCACACUGGAACUGAGACACGGUCCAGACUCCUACGGGAGGCAGCAGUGGGGAAUAUUGGACAAUGGGCGAAAGCCUGAUCCAGCCAUGCCGCGUGUGUGAAGAAGGUCUUCGGAUUGUAAAGCACUUUAAGUUGGGAGGCGUUACCAACAGAAUAAGCACCGGCUAACUUCGUGCCAGCAGCCGCGGUAAUAC